rnacentral:rRNA from 1 species
GAUGAACGCUAGCUACAGGCUUAACACAUGCAAGUCGAGGGGAAACGGCAUUGAGUGCUUGCACUCUUUGGACGUCGACCGGCGCACGGGUGAGUAACGCGUAUCCAACCUUCCCAUUACUGUGGGAUAACCUGCCGAAAGGCAGACUAAUACCGCAUAGUCUUCGAUGACGGCAUCAGAUUUGAAGUAAAGAUUUAUCGGUAAUAGAUGGGGAUGCGUCUGAUUAGCUUGUUGGCGGGGUAACGGCCCACCAAGGCUACGAUCAGUAGGGGUUCUGAGAGGAAGGUCCCCCACAUUGGAACUGAGACACGGUCCAAACUCCUACGGGAGGCAGCAGUGAGGAAUAUUGGUCAAUGGACGGAAGUCUGAACCAGCCAAGUAGCGUGCAGGAUGACGGCCCUAUGGGUUGUAAACUGCUUUUGUAUGGGGAUAAAGUUAGGGACGUGUCCCUAUUUGCAGGUACCAUACGAAUAAGGACCGGCUAAUUCCGUGCCAGCAGCCGCGGUAAUACGGAAGGUCCAGGCGUUAUCCGGAUUUAUUGGGUUUAAAGGGAGCGUAGGCUGGAGAUUAAGUGUGUUGUGAAAUGUAGACGCUCAACGUCUGAAUUGCAGCGCAUACUGGUUUCCUUGAGUACGCACAACGUUGGCGGAAUUCGUCGUGUAGCGGUGAAAUGCUUAGAUAUGACGAAGAACUCCGAUUGCGAAGGCAGCUGACGGGAGCGCAACUGACGCUUAAGCUCGAAGGUGCGGGUAUCAAACAGG